rnacentral:rRNA from 1 species
AAUAGAUACCCGGGUAGUCCUAGCCGUAAACUCUGAGUACUGAAUUGAAGGGCCCUCCAUAGCCCUUCAGUUGUAGCGAAAGUGUUAAGUACUCCGCCUGGGGAGUAUGGUCGCAAGGCUGAAACUCAAAGAAAUUGACGGGGGCUCACACAAGCGGUGGAGGAUGUGGCUUAAUUCGAGGCUACGCGAAGAACCUUAUCCUAGUCUUGACAUGCACGGAUUAACUCCUGGAAACAGGAGCCAGGCCUUCGGGUACAACGUGCACAGGUGCUGCAAGGCUGUCGUCAGCUCGUGUCGUGAGAUGUCGGGUUAAGUCCCUUAACGAGCGAAACCCUUGUCUCUAGUUGCCAGCGGGUCAUGCCGGGAACUCUAGAGUGACUGCCGGUGUUAAACCGGAGGAAGGUGGGGAUGACGUCAAGUCCUCAUGGCCUUUAUGAUUAGGGCUGCACACGUCCUACAAUGGCGCGAACAAAGGGAAGCAAAGUCGCGAGACCAAGCAAAUCCCAAAAAACGCGCCCCAGUUCGGAUUGCAGG